GGGCUCACACAAGCGGUGGAGGAUGUGGCUUAAUUCGAGGCUACGCGAAGAACCUUAUCCUAGUCUUGACAUGCUUGGGAACCUGCCUGAAAGGGCGGGGUGCCUUCGGGAACCCUUGCACAGGUGCUGCAUGGCUGUCGUCAGCUCGUGUCGUGAGAUGUCGGGUUAAGUCCCUUAACGAGCGAAACCCCUGUCUCUAGUUGCCAGCGAGUAAUGUCGGGGACUCUAGAGAGACUGCCGGUGUUAAACCGGAGGAAGGUGGGGAUGACGUCAAGUCCUCAUGGCCCUUAUGACUAGGGCUGCACACGUCCUACAAUGCGUCGUACAAAGGGAAGCAAACCCGCGAGGGGGAGCAAACCUCAAAAAGCGGCGCUCAGUUCGGAUUGCAGGCUGCAACUCGCCUGCAUGAAGCUGGAAUCGCUAGUAAUCGCGGGUCAGCAUACCGCGGUGAAUGUGUUCCUGAGCCUU
rnacentral:rRNA from 1 species